UCCGAGUUGACCCCGGCAGUCUCCUAUGAGUCCCCGGCCGAACCGCUGGCAACAUAGGACGAGGGUUGCGCUCGUUGCGGGACUUAACCCAACAUCUCACGACACGAGCUGACGACAACCAUGCACCACCUGUACGGGACCCUUGCGGACCCGACAUCUCUGCCGGAUUUCCCCGUAUGUCAAGCCUUGGUAAGGUUCUUCGCGUUGCGUCGAAUUAAACCACAUGCUCCACCGCUUGUGCAGGCCCCCGUCAAUUCCUUUGAGUUUUAACCUUGCGGCCGUACUCCCCAGGCGGUGCGCUUAAUGCGUUAGCUGCGCCACCGAGGGCCUAGGGCCCCCAACGGCUAGCGCACAUCGUUUACGGCGUGGACUAC
rnacentral:misc_RNA from 1 species